GACUUUGCAAGAGUCGCCCACGUGCAAACACGUUUCCUUUGGAGCAUUAAAGAUGGCUGGUCUUCUACGAGUGAGAGGAGCUUCUCAAGUGGUUCAAGUGUGCAGAGAAGGAGAGAAGGUCCUUCGUGGAGCCUCCAUGAAGGAUAUAGCAGUGAUACAGGGAGAGAAUGGAAGAGGAGUUGGGCUGGUUGUGGACGGGAACGGACUGAUUGCAGAUUUGGGUUUUGAUGAUGUUUUGGAUGCUAAAUACUCUGACUGGUCAUUCAAAGAGACAGUCUUGGCUAAUGGAUCCUCUGUGUUGCCUGGUUUUGUGGACGCCCACACGCACCCAGUGUGGGUUGGGGACAGAGUGAAUGAAUUUGCUAUGAAAUUAGCUGGUGCCACAUACAUGGAUAUACAUAAAUCAGGUGGUGGAAUCAACUUCACUGUACAGUGCGUACGUAGUGCUACACACAAGGAACUCUAUGACCCGUUAGUCCAAAGACUCUGGUCAAUGAUGAGAUGUGGUACGACUACAGUUGAAGCUAAAUCAGGCUAUGGGCUGGAGACCGAGUCUGAAGUGAAGAUGCUUGAAGUUCUAAAUAAUGCCCGUCAAGAGCAUCCAAUGGAUCUUUCUAUAACUUACUGUGGAGCACAUGCAGUACCUAGAGGAUUAUCUUCUGACGAAGCAACACUAUCCAUUAUUGAGGAACAGAUCCCGACUAUCAGUGACCUUUCAUCAAAAGGUCAAAUCCACGUUGACAACAUUGACGUAUUUUGUGAGAAAGGUGUCUUUGAUCUGGAGCAGUCUCGAAGGAUACUAGCAGCCGGAAAGAGAGAGGGAUGGAGGAUAAAUUUCCACGGCGACGAACUUCACCCAAUGGGAUCUGGAGAGUUGGCUGGAGAGUUAGAAGCAGCUGCUGUGAGUCACCUUGAGGAGAUCAGUGAUGCUGGGAUUGCUGCUAUGUCCCAGUGUGGCUCCAUCGGUGUCCUUCUACCCACUACUGCUUACAUGUUACGACUGAGGCAGCCUCCUGCUAGGAAGAUGAUUGAAAAAGGCAUGGCUAUAGCACUUGGUAGUGAUUUCAAUCCCAACGCUUACUGUUAUUCAAUGCCAUUAGUGAUGCAUUUAGCUUGUGUUAAUCUUCGUCUCUCAAUGGAGGAGUCACUGGUUGCUGCUACCAUCAAUGCAGCUGCUGCUCUUGGCCUCUCUGAUGUAUGUGGUUCUAUUGAAGUUGGAAAAAAAGCCGAUUUAGUGAUACUCUCUGCUCCCAAGUGGGAGAAUAUCAUAUACCAGUUUGGUUGUCAUCGGGAUUGCAUUCAACAUGUUAUAAAGGAGGGUAACAUUGUUUACAGCACAAAAGAAGAAGCCAUUGAUGUCUCUUAGCCGUGUCUUAGCUAUGUACACAAUGCACUGGGUGUGAGUGUUUCUUUAGAAUUACAAAGAUGAAAAUAGCAGAAUAUUUUGUGUUUUUUUAUACUAAUGUUACAGAAACACUAAACAAUUCCUUCGUUAAUGUACAACUUUUUGUUACUUUAACAAAAAGAAAGAUAAUGCACGUGUAUGUACAUGUAUGUACUUAUAGUACAUGUAUUGUAUGUUAAUUCUUUGAACUGACUCACUCAUUUAUGUCAUCACUCACGUUUGCACUCAAUAAAAUAACAAUUUCAAAGUAUUGUGUAUAGUAAAAGUAAA
rnacentral:misc_RNA from 1 species